AUGACUAGUGUGUUCCCUUGGCAGAACUCUAUUAGCCUUUGUCCUGCUUCAUUCUGUACUCCACGGCCAACCCUUGCCUGUUACUCCAGGUAUCUCUUGACUUCCUACUUUUGUAUUCCAGUCCCCUAUAAUGAAAAGGACGUCUUUUUUUGGGUGUUAGUUCUAGAAAGUCUUGUAGGUCUUCAUAGACCCAUUCAACUUCAUCUUCUUCAGGGUUACUGGUCUAAUUGUGAAGUGUCUAAUUGUACCUUUUUCCAUUUAUCUGGCUGUGCAACUGUAGAUGAGUCACUUCUCUGUGGCUCUGUUUUCUUAUUGGUAAACAGACUAAUAAUUAAUAGUACGUGGGCCUUAGAAAGCAUCACUACGAACAAAGCUAGUGGAGGUGAUGGAAUUCCAGCUGAGCGCUUUCAAAUCCUGAAAGAUGAUGCUGUCAAAGUGCUGCACGCAAUAUGCCAGCAAAUUUGGAAAACUCAGCAGCGGCCACACGACUGGAAAAGGUCAGUUUUCAUUCCAAUCCCAAAGAAAGGCAAUGCCAAAGAAUGCUCAAACUACCACAUAAUUGCACUCAUCUCACACACUAGUAAAGUAAUGCUCAAAAUUCUCCAAGCCAGGCUUCAGCAAUACAUGAACCGUGACCUUCCUGAUGUUCAAGCUGGUUUUAGAAAAGGCAGGGGAACCAGAGAUCAAAUUGCCAACAUCUGCUGGAUCAUCGAAAAAGCAAGAGAGUUCCAGAAAAACAUCUCUUUCUGCUUUAUUGACUAUGCCAAAGCCUUUGACUGUGUGGAUCACAAUAAACUGUGGAAAAUUCUCAGAGAGAUGGGAAUAUCAGACCACCUGACCUGCCUCUUGAAAAAUCUGUAUGCAGGUCAGGAAGCAACAGUUAGAACUGAACAUGGAACAACAGACUGGUUCCAAAUAGGAAAAGGAGUACUUCAAGGCUGUAUAUUGUCACCCUGCUUAUUUAACUUAUAUGUAGUGUACAUCAUGAGAAAUGCUGGACUCGAAGAAGCACAAGCUGCAAUCAAGAUUGCAGGAAGAAAUAUCAAUAACCUCAGAUAUGCAGAUGACACCACCCUUAUGGCAGAAAGUGAAGAGGAACUAAAAAGCCUCUUGAUGAAAGUGAAAGAGAAGAGUGAAAAAGUUGGCUUAAAGCUCAACAUUCAGAAAACGAAGAUCAUGGCAUCCGGUCCCAUCACUUCAUGGGAAAUGGAUGGGGAAUCAGUGGAAACAGUGUCAGACUUUAUCUUUGGGGGCUCCAAAACCACUGCAGAUGGUUACUGCAGCCAUAAAAUUAAGAGACGCUUACUCCUUGGAAGGAAAGCUAUGAUCAACCUAGAUAGCGUAUUCAAAAGCAGAGACAUUACUUUGCCGACUAAGGUCCAUCUAGUCAAGGCUAUGGUUUUUCCUGUGGUCAUAUAUGGAUGUGAGAGUUGGACUGUGAAGAAGGCUGAGCGCUGA
rnacentral:lncRNA from 1 species